AACAAACGCUGGCGGCGUGCCUAAUACAUGCAAGUCGAACGGGGAAAGCUUUCGGGUGAGUACUAGUGGCGCACGGGUGAGUAACGCGUGGAUAAUCUGCCCUCGAAUGGGGAAUAACUAGUCGAAAGAUUAGCUAAUACCGCAUAAGACCACGACUACUGAGGUAGUUGGGGUCAAAGGAGCAAUUCGUUUGAGGAUGAGUCCGCGUAAGAUUAGUUAGUUGGUGAGGUAAUGGCUCACCAAGGCGAUGAUCUUUAACUGGUCUGAGAGGAUGAUCAGUCACACUUGAACUGAGACACGGUCCAGACUCCUACGGGAGGCAGCAGUAGGGAAUAUUGGACAAUGGGGGCAACCCUGAUCCAGCGACGCCGCGUGAGCGAUGAAGGCCUUCGGGUCGUAAAGCUCUGUUGUAAGGGAAAAAGUUCUGAUUGUACCUUACGAGAAAGGAUCGGCUAACUUCGUGCCAGCAGCCGCGGUAA
rnacentral:rRNA from 1 species